CCCCACCCUGCUUCUCCCCACCUCUGCUCCUCCCCCUCCCCCACGCGUGCUGCACCCUCGCUUCUCCCCAAUCCCCGCCCAGCGACUCCUGACACCACAAAAGAGCUGAUCUGCAGCUGGCGGGUCUGAAACCAGCACGUUAGGCAUAGAAAGCCUUUAGAGGAACUACUGGAAGGAGGAAAAUGCUCCCAGGAAGGAUACAGUGAAAACAAACUCUGAACUCACCUGGAACAUGGAUUCUCUCUGAGGUCAACUGAAUUCCGUCCCCCUUUGGUCAGUUUCCACUUUGUUCGUGGUCCUAGGGACGAAAACAGAAAAGUAGAUCCACGCUUUUAAUAUUUGAAAACUUUAUUUUCUCAAAUGAGCAC